GCCAGGCGUGGUUGCUCACGCCUGUAAUCCCAACAAUUUGGGAGGCUGAGGCGGGUGGUUCAUUUGAGGUCAGGAGCUCAUGACCAGCCUGACCAACAUGGUGAAACCCUGUCUCUA
ensembl:misc_RNA Metazoa_SRP Metazoan signal recognition particle RNA